AAGGGUUUCUCCUUUCCAGUGGUGGUGUAGAGAGAGGCUGAGUUCGUCCCUGAGGCCGGAGUGGAGAUGACCGCAGCCAGGCUGGCCCGCAAAGCAGGGUCCCUUUCAGAGGGCUUGCUCCCCGGACGACCUGGAGCCUGCUUUAGGGGAGCCACACACGUCCUCUCCCCUUUCUUGCUGGAGAUUUGGGGACCUAAGGGGGAUCUGUGAUUCCUGAAAAAAGAAACUUCCUUUGGUAGGUGAUACUAGGCAGUCGCAUCCCCAGAGUCUCCGCCUUUCUGCGCUUCCGCAGCGGGGGGCAAACAGGGGCCGGGGUGCCGUGUGGGUAAGUAGCUCCUAGGAGCUGGGAUCCUCCUUUCAGCACUUGGGGAAGGCUAUGUCCGACCUUUGGCUCAGUCACUGUUAUCACACACAGGCAUUUCUGGAGGCAUUUCGGGGCUUUAUUCUGGGAAGUCGCGCGGACCGGGGCCCUAGCGCUACAGGAGAGGAACCUCAGCGCUCGCCACGCGUGAGUCGCACUUCCGGUGAGGUGUCUUCGGGAGGUGGCGCCACAGCCCGUCGCAGCGCCGGCCGCCCGCCUUUCUCAGCCAGACUCCCACCGCGCCAACACCGGGGGAGAGAGUGAGCCCCGCCCGGCCGCGGUCUGGACCCCGCAGCGGGGCUUCGCGGGCGCUCUGAGCCGUGAUUCCUGACGGCCUCAGAACCCCGUUCGCCGUUCUCUGCUCAUACGGAGGGUGCUGGGGACCCCGAAGCCUGCGCGCCCUCGACUGAGGCCCGCACCAGCAGUGAGGAUCCGGGCCCUUCGUUGGGCCGUGACUGCUCUUGGUGCCUCAUGGGAGCGCCCGGGCGUUCGGCAGCGGACAAAGAAGAGCUGGUGCAGGCGGAACCGAAACUGAACCUGACAGCUAAUGCUGUGAAAUGGACACCCGAAGUUCGUGGUCUGGCUCCAGGAAGAGUUUAGGGAAUGUGUUAGGCGGCAAUUCGGCAAGCAAGAGCUGUAGUCCAACCCUUCCUUCGGUGGGAAAAUUCAGGUUAGGACGGAAUGCGAGGCCUCUUAAAUCGUUAAGAUCCUCCAGUCAGCUGGAAGAGUCUUUAGUAAUUCGUUGUUUUAUCUUGAGACCAUUAUCGGCCCCUAAGCACCUAAUUAUUUAAUGGCAGCCCUCUGGGUAUAUCGGGUAUACUGAUAGGCGUUAUCUAGCAUUCAAACACGUGUUUCUGGAGGAAACUUGUCUGACCUCCCUCCACCCCCGCCGCCCACUGUCAUUUAUUUUAUUAAAUGGAACCCAAUUGUAUAAUUAUUUUAUAAAACAGCAGUCCUAUUACAUAUUUUUGAAGA